CCACCAUGCCCGGCCAUUGCCCUGUUUUACCAAAUGUUCUUCUUUUCCCCUUGGCAGAAUUUGCGAAGGAUAACUCCUGUGGAGCUUGCAGAUGUGGAGCAGUUAUAUGAAUUUCAUCCUCCUGUUUGGAUAACUGACACUACACUUCGAAAGUCUCCCUUUGUUCCUCAGAUGGGUGAUGAGGUAAUCUAUUUUCGUCAGGGCCAUGAAGCUUACAUUGAAGCUGUUAGAAGAAAUAACAUUUAUGAACUGAACCCUCACAAGGAGCCAUGGAGAAAAAUGGAUCUUAGGGUAGGCCACUGACGCUGCACCGUUUCCAUGUAGAAGGCUGCUGUCCAAAGAAGUAAAAGCUGGAGGAAAUUUGGCCUUGUGUCAUAAAAUCGUGAAGUAACAUGACCUUUUCCAGUCACUCCUGUUUUAUAAUUCUCUGUCCUUGUAACUCUUGUCUGAAAAUAGAGCAUUUUUAGCAGGUAGCAAACAUUUUAAGUUACCCAAAUCGCUUACAGGGUUGUGGAGUGGUCCAUGCUUUCUAGGGGGGUGUACUGGCAAUUAGAAUUGAAACUGAACGAACAGUUUUCAGAUCUUUUAAACCUGAGAUGAUAUUUUUGAUAAUUUAAGAGACAAACAGAAAUGCUUGUACAUUUAUGAAGAAGGCAGUUCUGUCUUAAUGUAUUUACGAAUAAAUGGCAGUAAGCGCCAUGUUGGCCUGUAGUAGUUAGGGAAGCCACAGUGUGCUCACGGAGUGGCUGCUGUGUAGGGCCCACAUGUACAUGAAGCCUGGGAUUUGUUCAGUGAAUGAUGGGAGGGAAAAAUCCAUGUGUGAUAUGUUUUUGGUUAGCAUACAAGAUCUUGUAAAUAAAUACUUUUGUACCUGAAAAGAAAAAAAACAACAAAACAUAAAAAUGCCAGUUUGAUUAACUGUGUUUAUACUUUUAUAGAUUUUUUUUGUUUGUUUGGUUUUGGUUUUUUGAGACAGGAUCUUACUAUGUAAACCAGGCUGGCCUGGAACUCACAGAGAUCCACUUUCCUCUGCCUCUGCAUACUGGGAUUAAAGGCCUGUGCCACCAUAUCCAUUGACUUUUACAUGUUUUGAUACUUAA
rnacentral:lncRNA from 1 species